UCGUGCUAGGCGGGGAGCUAGCGGUGCCCUGUACCCGCAAUCCGCUAUAGCGGGGCUGAAUUCCCUCUCCCGGCGCUGACGUGUGUGUGUGUGGUCCAUUGGAUCGACGUUGAUGGUUGGGUCUUGCGCGGCAGGUCCCCGUGAACCCCGUGAGGUCCGGAAGGAAGCAGCGGUAAACGGAGUGGCCUGGGUGCCGCAAGGGCGCCUGGCCUGAGUAGGUCCACGGUUCUACGCGUACAUUCGGAACGUCAAAAGAGGGUGCACGA
rnacentral:SRP_RNA from 1 species